rnacentral:rRNA from 1 species
UACGUAGGGGGCUAGCGUUGUCCGGAAUCAUUGGGCGUAAAGAGCGUGUAGGCGGUCCGGUAAGUCCGCUGUGAAAGUCGGGGGCUCAACCCUCGGAAGCCGGUGGAUACUGUCGGGCUAGAGUACGGAAGAGGCGAGUGGAAUUCCUGGUGUAGCGGUGAAAUGCGCAGAUAUCAGGAGGAACACCAAUUGCGAAGGCAGCUCGCUGGGACGUUACUGACGCUGAGACGCGAAAGCGUGGGGAGCAAACAGG